rnacentral:lncRNA from 1 species
GGGAAAGGAAAAAAGUUAACUACGGGCAGUGGAUGUUGGUUGAGGGUAAAUCACGGCGUGGUCAAAGAGAUUCUCGAGCUAACAGGGUAGUAAAUUUGGGAAAGGGAACGUUGGGGUCUAGGUUUUCGCCGUUGAUUGCAGAAGAUGUCUCAUGUGGCGACUUAGGAGAGUCUUAUGGGGUUUUUUGGGGGAGAAGGAUGAUAGUUGUGUGGCUGUGGGUAUGAGAAAUAAUGGAGCUAGGG